CCCUGUGCAUCUCGGUAAUAGGCGUGUGUGACACUCCGGAAUCGCUCCUGCCCUGCUGUGUCCCAGAUCUGCGGAGGGAUGGAUGGGCAGACAAGGAGCCCUGCUGCCCAGCCUCCUCUAACCAGAAAUGCCUAGGGCCACAGCAUACUGGGAAGCCAGAGCAGGCAAGGGGAGGGCAGCAACCCUGUGCCCCGCUGCCCCUGGCUUGCUGUGGAAGGAGGAGCCAGCAGCCACCUCACCCUGAAGUCUAUGCCGACCGUGGCUAUGAAGGUCCCGGAAAGGAAGGCCCCGUCUUUGAAUUGGAUCAGGAAACAGGUUUUGCCGACGCCUGAGUCUCCCAGAAGCAUCACCUAGGAGAUGGGGGCAGAGGCAGUUACUGGGGAGUUAGUGGGGGGCUGGUUUCUGGGCUGCCCGAGAAAGGAGCUGGAAGGAAGGGCAGAGAGCUAGGAAGCCUGGAACCGCAGGCCCGGCAUCUGCUUCUGGCAGGCCGGCUGCUGCAAGCACCCCCAUGUUUACAUGUGCCUGGGCUCUGUGCCCCUUGCUCGCCGUCCCUUGGAUUCACCUGUCCUCAUUCCACUUCCUAGAAGCCUGGGCACCAACAGGUCCCCAGAUGUGCUUGGUGGCAUCAGAGAAACACUACCUUUGGGUGGUCUAGACUCUGCCCAAAUUCACCCCAACCACAUGGUGCAGGGAUUUGCUCUUCAGUUAACACACACACACACACACACACACACACACACACACACACACACACGAGAGAGAGAGAGAGAGAGAGAGAGAGAGAGAGAGAGAGAGAA